AUUGAACGCUGGCGGCAGGCCUAACACAUGCAAGUCGAGCGGAUGAUGGGAGCUUGCUCCUGGAUUCAGCGGCGGACGGGUGAGUAAUGCCUAGGAAUCUGCCUGGUAGUGGGGGACAACGUUUCGAAAGGAACGCUAAUACCGCAUACGUCCUACGAGAGAAAGCAGGGGACCUUCGGGCCUUGCGCUAUCAGAGGAGCCUAGGUCGGAUUAGCUUGUUGGUGAGGUAAUGGCUCACCAAGGCGACGAUCCGUAACUGGUCUGAGAGGAUGAUCAGUCACACUGGAACUGAGACACGGUCCAGACUCCUACGGGAGGCAGCAGUGGGGAAUAUUGGACAAUGGGCGAAAGCCUGAUCCAGCCAUGCCGCGUGUGUGAAGAAGGUCUUCGGAUUGUAAAGCACUUUAAGUUGGGAGGAAGGGUUGUAGAUUAAUACUCUGCAAUUUUGACGUUACCGACAGAAUAAGCACCGGCUAACUCUGUGCCAGCCGCCGCCGUAACAC
rnacentral:rRNA from 1 species